GAGCUGUCCUUCAUGACAACAGAACCCACAACAACCAUGACUUUUAUCACCAUCUUCAUCUGGACACUUGCUUUCUGCUUCAAGGGAUCUAGAGGACAGAUCACUGUGACUCAGACACCUACAGUGAAAACAGUUCUCCCCGGACAGCCAGUCUCUAUGAACUGUAAAGCCAGCAGUGAUGUGUAUCCUGACUGUAGUAGUUCAGGUAAACCAUGUUUAGCCUGGUAUCAACAGAAACCUGGAGAAACUCCUAAAGCAUUGGUCUACUAUGGAAGCACCCUCAUCUCUGGGACUCCAUCUAGAUUCAGUGGCAGUGGAUCUGGGAGUGACUUCACUCUGACCAUCAGUGGAGUCCAGGCUGAAGAUGCAGGAGAUUACUACUGUCAGAGUGUACACACUGGUAAUGUGUUCACACAGUGA